UGCCAGCAGUCGCGGUUAAACCAAGAAAUUAAGUCAUAUUUAACGGUAAAAAGAUAGUUAGAUAUUAAUUAAAAUAAGUUUUUGAAUGAUUUAUAUAAAAGUAAAAUUUAAAUAUAAAUUUUUAAACUAAGAAUAACUUAAUAAAUUGAAUCUAUAAAAAUCUUGAGGGAAACUGGGACUAGAUACCCCAUUAUUCUUGAUUAUAAAAAUAUAAAUUACCAGAGUACUACGAAUAAAUAAAAUUUAAAACUCAAAGGGCUUGGCGGUGUCUUAGACCACUUAGGGGAACCUGUCUCAUAAUCGAUAAUCCACGUUAUACCUAACUUUUUUUCGUAUUCAGCUUGUAUACCGUUGUCGUCAGGUAACUUUUAAAAAACUAUAAGUUAGCUAUAAACUCUUUAAUUAAAACGUCAGAUCAAGGUGCAGCCUAUAAAAAAGGGAGGAUGGGUUACAAUUAAUAUUCAUAAUUAUGGAUAAUUUUUUUUGAAAAAAUAAUUUGAAGGCGGACUUAAAAGUAAAUCAGAUUAUAAAAAUAUUUUGAAUAAGGCUCUGAGAUGUGCACACAUCGCCCGCCACUCU
rnacentral:rRNA from 1 species